CGCAUGGUCUGGUGGUGGAAAGAUUUUUUGGUUGGGGAUGGACUCGCGGCCUAUCAGCUUGUUGGUGAGGUAAUGGCUCACCAAGGCGACGACGGGUAGCCGGCCUGAGAGGGUGACCGGCCACACUGGGACUGAGACACGGCCCAGACUCCUACGGGAGGCAGCAGUGGGGAAUAUUGCACAAUGGGCGAAAGCCUGAUGCAGCAACGCCGCGUGAGGGAUGACGGCCUUCGGGUUGUAAACCUCUUUUAGUAGGGAAGAAGCGAAAGUGACGGUACCUGCAGAAAAAGCACCGGCUAACUACGU
rnacentral:rRNA from 1 species